rnacentral:lncRNA from 1 species
CAUCGAGUCAUUUUGAAAUAGGUCCUAGGCUGUUCAGGUAAACUAACCAGGCAUCAAAGAGGAAGUUAAUUCUGGACUCAGGUCAGCUAAAUUCAACAUGAGAAAAACGUGUACACUUACAGUCAGGAUACAGAAUGGCAGAACCAUCAGAUUUCUCCCACGGCUCAUAAGUCACUUGGCUUGCUGCUCUACCUGUAAGAGGCACCACUGCACAGACCAUUUCACAAAGUGAAAGGACUGAAGACUGUUUACUGAAGAUGCAGAGACCAAGUUAAACCAGGCUUGAUCUUUCUCAGCACCAAAGUACAAGUCAUCCUAGCAGAUAAAACAAAAAGGGUGUUUUCCCUUCCAUAAAAAACACUAACUUAACCACAACUUACUCUUUAUAUUCACAGGACUUUCAGAGCUUAAAUUUGUUGCUGCCAGAAUACAAGAAACUUUGUUGCUUUAGGAUAGAUUAUAGAACAGGACAUCCUAGUGCAAUGUUAUAAUCCUAGAAGUCUUUUUGCUUCUUCACUCUGUGCCAUCAGAGUUUCACUAGCAUACUUCUGAAGAAGCUCCAUCUUCUUCCUCCGUACAAGAGCUUCCUCAAUCUCCUGUUGAGAUGGCACUGGAACAUGUGCAAUAAAUUUCUGUUGGCCGUCUUCGCCUUCUUUUUCUUUGCCACCCUCCUCAUCAGACUCAUCAUCAACAGCGUAGAUAUUUUCUUCCUCUUCCUCCUCCUCCUCCCCUCUCGCAAGUCUUGCCUCCCUCUCCAUUUUCCAUUUUUCCACUGCUUCUGCUAUAACUUUCUUCUCAUGUUCUUGUUCCAGGGGCUCUAGAAUGCCAUCAUCUUCAUCCCUGUAGCCAUAGUAUUCUGCAUCAAUGGAUUUCAUCAGUUCCGCACGGGUUUUCCGGGGUGGUGGGAGGGGCUCCUUCUCAAAAAGUUCUCUAACUCCUGGUAAAUCCUUUGCAGCUCCAAAGUAUUUGUAACCUCUGUUCCCUGGAACUUCCUUCCCCUCGUGAUCUAACAUCCUCGGUCCAAUUCUAGCAUAAUCAGGACCUCCCAGCUCCCUUAUUCGGACUUCCCAGUGCCCUUUUUCCCUCAGAAGUUUGUUUAUUUCAUCAUUCAGGUCCCGAAUUCUGAAUUCACCCAAUCCAGCAUUUUGAAUCUGUGCCACUUUCUUGGAGAUUUCCCCAAUGAUCUGCCGUCUCCACUUCUCAGCUUUUGGCAAUUCAUUACACUCUGAUGCAAGGAAAGGUCUUCGUUCCUUAACUUUUCCUUCUUCAAGCUGAGCUUGAC